rnacentral:rRNA from 1 species
AUGGGCGAUGAACUUGAGGCUUUCUCAGAGGAGGAGCUUCGACGGCGGCCAGAAGUAAGGAUCAUCAACAAGUAUGCGCUCACUGUAGCGUACAUUAGAUUUGCCCUGAAAUCUAUCGGGGCCCUGUUGCUUUUGUGGGCCACCGUCGUCCUCCUCGGCGGCUUCGUCUCGUCGCUGAAAAGGGUCGAUUUUUGGUACCUGACCACCAUCGCGUUCCUGCAGGCUGCCGGGGUAUUUGACGUGAUGGGAGAUGCUCGCUUUGCAUUCUUUGAGGAUUGGCUUGAUUCGCUUAUGCAGAAUGUUGAGUCGUGUCAUCUUGAGCAUACCCAGUUGCGUAUGAGACAAUGGCUGAAAAGAAAAUUACAUAUGCUAAUAGAUAUCAUUCUGAUCGUGAUAUUUUUACCAGCGGUGUACUUUGCUCUUGCUGGGCCAGUUCUGUGCAUUGUGCUAUCGGCGAUUCGCGUAGCAAACCAAGGCUAUGGUAUCGCCGACGGAGAAACAAGUAAAGCAAAUUUGAAUCGGGCGCUGGACUUAUACUACUACGUAUCUCUUGCUCACGGCACAAUAUGCUUAUUGUGUAUGCUCUCUGAAGUCACUGCUAAUGAAGUCGUCGUAGUUUCUCUUUGGCUACGACAUGGUUUCAGCCUCGACCUACUUGACGGAUACUUGCGCGAAACCAAGCAGAUGUGUGUACACAACCCCGCAUCCAUAAUGAACUGGAAUUUGAUCACGUAUGGUGCCAGCUUGCUAGAUUCCCAAUCACCGGAGGACUAUGUGGCUGGAGGAAGGGUACUAACUAUGCUGAUUGAUCAGGGUAUGCCGUUAUCUAUAAGACGGCUGAUGAUCAGGUCACCGAGAGAAAGAAUUCAGAAGCUGAUUGGGACCCUUGCCUGGAGAAGCCCAGCCGAAAGAGAGAUGAGAUGGCUUGCAGCAAGGAUCGUGGAGCAUCUCGCCGCUGACAUCAACCUUACUCACUUUCCAGGAGCACUAGAAUGCAUAUCCUCCCUCUUUGACACCUCAUGUCAUAACAAUGGUGAUCAGGAAGCUCUUCAUUUGCCUUUUGUAAUUGGACAUAGCAAGCAGAAGAGAAGGAUAAGUUUGCUAGACAGAGUUGUUGCUGCUACACUGGAGGGUCUGCUUAAUUCCAGGUCCUUUCAGCGUCAAUUCCGUGUACAAUUGAUUCGCAGGUAUGUCAGAAAGCAGCAGCACAACAGUGAGGAUCUGGUCUUCCCAGGCUUAAGAAUUCUAGAGAACCUGGCUCACGACACACAUAACUGCACACUGAUAUACAACACCAAGGGUCUUCUUUCAAAAAUAGUUGCACCUGUCAGCUCCAACGAAUUUGUGCAAGAUACCAAGAGCAGCGCUGCAUGGACCAAGGUGGUAGACGGAUCACUGAAAGUGGUGAGCCGGCUCAUGAGUUCUUCGGGAAGCACUGGCAUAAAGAUGCACAGACUAAUUGCGAACAAUAGUAAUGCAGUCAAAAACUUAGAGGCCAUUCUGGACAUGGAUAUGAAGAGCAAAAGUGGGAUCAUAAAGCUACAGACGCAAGCUCUAGAGGUUCUUACACAACUAACCUUGCACCAUCCAGCAAGUACUUCUGCAGAAAAACUUAUUAAGAAGGCGCUACACAUCUUCCUUACCGCAGAUUGGAUGAGAGAUUAUUUGGAACACGAGAAAAGGAACAUCGACCAACCAACUACAAUCCAACAAAAUAUGUCAUUAAGACCGUCAAUGCGAUCACGUUUGAGUAAUCUUAUUAAGAAGGCCAAUGGAGCAUGGGCGAGAGAGAAGAUGGCCGAACAAGCCGCAAAAGAACGUGUGGAAAAAAAGAUGAAAGAAGCUCAGGAAACUGCAAUCCAGCAUAAAGAAAAGGCUGGUGAAGCGUUGGCCAGGAUAUCCAGUGAUUCAGAGGCUAUCAAGAGCUUCACAGGAGGCAACAAUGAUGUCCUUGGUCUUACUGAAUUGCUUGACUCCAAUAUUAAGACCAUCAAAUGCGAAAUAAGUGCAACAGAUAGUGUGGAAAUAAAGAUCAACACGGGCUGUCGUAUUAGCGCAGCAAUCAUUUUGAAGCAUUUGAGAAACUACGAUAAGGAAACAACCUUACGCAAGGUACUUGCAGAAUUAAUUCCUAUACAGGCAGAAGCGAGUAGCGCAAGCACGCCGCGGUGGUGUGGGCAUGCCAACUCUUGCUCUUGCCUUGGGAACGGCAUAGAAAACGGUGCCAUCUCUUGUGUUAUAUCAUUUGGAACCGGGGUGGCGGCUGGUUGCUUUCCAAAAAAACCAAGUGAUGGUGAGCAAGACAAGCCUUCCGCUUCACUUAGCUACCACAUCCAGCAGUGUUGGGAGAGGAGGCUCCAAGCUGAGCUGUUAUCACUCGUCGCGGGGAUCCUUGCAAAUGGCAAUUAUAAUUUUGCAGAAGUUUUAAUAUCGCCACCGGCUUCGGAUAGCCUGCUGGAAGACUUUGUGAUGAGGCUCAAGAAGAUGGUGGAAGACAACUUAUAUGCCACCCCGGCAUGCCUGGCAAUACAGAAGCUCAUCUGUGAGAUGGUUACAGGAUUUCUCCAACAUGAUGGAUACGUCGAAGUGAUCGACAAGCACAAUAUCGUUGCCACAUUACUGGAGGCUUCAGAGGUGAUGGACUGUCUUGAGAGCAGCAUGCUUUUCUCUGGUGUCGAUCAUGACUGCCACGGGGUUCCUCUGAAGCCUCUUUCUUCUGUUCUCGCAAAAAAUUCCGAAGAUCUUUUGGCACAGAGGAAACAGGCUCUGGGCAUCAACAUUGUGCCUGUCAGUGCCGCAAUACCGUGA